UACGAGGGGGGCAAGCGUUGUUCGGAAUUAUUGGGCGUAAAGGGUGCGUAGGCUGUGCGGUAAGUCUGACGUGAAAUCUUCGAGCUUAACUCGGAAACUGCGUCGGAUACUAUUCGGCUAGAGGAAUGGAGGGGAGACUGGAAUACUUGGUGUAGCAGUGAAAUGCGUAGAUAUCAAGUGGAACACCAGUGGCGAAGGCGAGUCUCUGGACAUUUCCUGACGCUGAGGCGCGAAAGCCAGGGGAGCAAACGGG
rnacentral:rRNA from 1 species